rnacentral:tRNA from 1 species
GGCGUCGUAGCCAAGUGGUAAGGCAAGGCUCUGCAAAAGCUUCACCGCCGGUUCAAAUCCGGCCGACGCCUCCA